rnacentral:rRNA from 1 species
AGUGAACGCUGGCGGUAGGUCUAACACAUGCAAGUCGAACGGCAGCACAGGAGAGCUUGCUCUCUGGGUGGCGAGUGGCGGACGGGUGAGGAAUACAUCGGAAUCUACCUUUUCGUGGGGGAUAACGUAGGGAAACUUACGCUAAUACCGCAUACGACCUACGGGUGAAAGUGGGGGACCGCAAGGCCUCACGCGAUUAGAUGAGCCGAUGUCCGAUUAGCUAGUUGGCGGGGUAAUGGCCCACCAAGGCGACGAUCGGUAGCUGGUCCGAGAGGAUGAUCAGCCACACUGGAACUGAGACACGGUCCAGACUCCUACGGGAGGCAGCAGUGGGGAAUAUUGGACAAUGGGCGCAAGCCUGAUCCAGCCAUACCGCGUGGGUGAAGAAGGCCUUCGGGUUGUAAAGCCCUUUUGUUGGGAAAGAAAUCCUAUCGGUUAAUAACCGGUGGGGAUGACGGUACCCAAAGAAUAAGCACCGGCUAACUUCGUGCCAGCCGCCGCAGUAAAAC